CGAAGGGGCGUAGCGUUGCUCGGAAUCACUGGGCGUAAAGCGCACGUAGGCGGAUUGCUAAGUCAGGGGUGAAAUCCUGGAGCUCAACUCCAGAACUGCCUUUGAUACUGGCGACCUUGAGUCCGGGAGAGGUGAGUGGAACUGCGAGUGUAGAGGUGAAAUUCGUAGAUAUUCGCAAGAACACCAGUGGCGAAGGCGGCUCACUGGCCCGGUACUGACGCUGAGGUGCGAAAGCGUGGGGAGCAAACAGGAUU
rnacentral:rRNA from 1 species